UACGGAGGGUGCAAGCGUUACUCGGAAUUACUGGGCGUAAAGAGCGUGUAGGCGGAUAGAUAAGUUGGAAGUGAAAUCCUAUGGCUCAACCAUAGAACUGCUUCCAAAACUGUCUAUCUAGAAUAUGGGAGAGGUAGAUGGAAUUUCUGGUGUAGGGGUAAAAUCCGUAGAGAUCAGAAGGAAUACCGAUUGCGAAGGCGAUCUACUGGAACAUUAUUGACGCUGAUGCACGAAAGCGUGGGGAGCGAACAGG
rnacentral:rRNA from 1 species